CCUACGGGAGGCUGCAGUGAGGAAUAUUGCACAAUGGGCGAAAGCCUGAUGCAGCAACGCCGCGUGAGCGAUGAAGGCCUUCGGGUCGUAAAGCUCUGUCCUCAAGGAAGAUCAUGACGGUUCUUGCGGAGGAAGCCCCGGCUAACUACGUGCCAGCAGCCGCGGUAAUACGUAGGUGGCUCGGGUUAUCCGGAAUUACUGGGCGUAAAGGGUGCGUAGGUGGUUUCUAAAGUCAGUGGGUAAAGGCUACGGCGCAACCGUAGUAAGCCUUUGAAACUGGGGAACUUGAGUGCAGGAGAGGAGAGUGGAAUUCCUGGUGUAGCGGUGAAAUGCGUAGAUAUUAGGAGGAACACCAGUGGCGAAGGCGGCUCUCUGGACUGUAACUGACACUGAGGCACGAAAGCGUGGGGAGCAAACAGGAUUAGAUACCCUUGUAGUC
rnacentral:rRNA from 1 species